rnacentral:rRNA from 1 species
GACGAACGCUGGCGGCGUGCUUAACACAUGCCAGUCGAACGGAAAGGCCCUGCUUUUGUGGGGGGCUCGAGUGGCGAACGGGUGAGUAACACGGGGGUAACCUGCCCUUGACUUUGGGAUAACUUCAGGAAACUGGGGCUAAUACCGGAUAGGAGCUCCUGCUGCAUGGGGGGGGUUGGAAAGUUUCGGCGGUUGGGGAUGGACUCGCGGCUUAUCAGCUUGUUGGUGGGGUAGUGGCUUACCAAGGCUUUGACGGGUAGCCGGCCUGUGAGGGUGGACGGCCCCAUUGGGCCUGCGAUACGGCCCAGAGGCCUACGGGAGGCAGCAGUGGGGAAUAUUGCACAAUGGGCGGAAGCCGGAUGCAGCAACGCCGCGUGCGGGAUGACGGCUUUGGGGUUGUAAACCGCUUUCGCCUGUGACGAAGCGUGAGUGACGGUAAUGGGUAAAGAAGCACCGGCUAACUACGUG